AAGGUACCUAAUGUGUUCGAAUCGACCAUCUCAUCUACAAGUCACUACGCAUUCUGGCUCAUCAAUUUAAGAUCAAAGCGGACUAGAAACAACCACAAUCUGGACGACCUAUGACCACAUUGCCAAAUGAUGAGUAAGCUUAGUUGCAAGAACGGAAGUUGACCUAGGUCACAAGACAAUCAGGCCACCACAGAUUGCGCGUUGUGAAGAUAGAUAAAUAGCGACGGUCAUAACUCUCAUGUGACUACUCACUGAGCUUCAUUGAUCACAGAGCAGUCGGUGGAGCGGUUGGUGACGGGCGUAGGACAUUAUUGUACCAACUGGAUUGAAUGCUCGUUGCACUGCUGCCAUGAGACCCGCUCAGAUCACAUGUGCGAUGGUUGCCAGUGUUCUCAUGAUGAUCGAGUCCAAUGACAAGCAUUUUAGAUGUGGUUAUGGCCCUCACAACUACAGUGUCCACUCUCCUGGGUUUGCUGUCUAUCAGCUGGUAGGACAACGUGUGAAUAUCUCACUAAUUGACAAGAACAACAGCUCUGUGCGCAUCAGCUGGAACAUCCUGGCGGGGAAGUCUCCGUUAACGAACACAGAAUUGCGAAUGCAUCUUGACAAUAGAAUCGUUAUAAGAAAACGAAACAGUCUGACUAUUAGUCUAGUAACAAAACAAUUGGAUGGAAUUAUAUUUAUUGGUAAAUCUAGAAUUGACACAAAACAGCAGCACGGAAAGAGGGUAUUUAUAAACG